CCAGCCCGCUCAGAAACUACAAAGGAAUUGACGGGGACCCGCACAAGCAGCGGAGCAUGUGGUUUAAUUCGAAGCAACGCGAAGAACCUUACCAGGUCUUGACAUCCUCUGACAAUCCGAGAGAUCGGACUUUCCCUUCGGGGACAGAGAGACAGGUGGUGCAUGGUUGUCGUCAGCUCGUGUCGUGAGAUGUUGGGUUAAGUCCCGCAACGAGCGCAACCCUUAUCCCUAGUUGCCAUCAGGUAAAGCUGGGAACUCUGGGGAGACUGCCGGUGAUAAACCGGAGGAAGGCGGGGAUGACGUCAAGUCCUCAUGGCCCUUACAUCCCGGGCUACACACGUGCUACAAUGGCAGGUACAGAGGGCUGCGAAGCCGCGAGGUGGAGCGAAUCCCAGAAAACCUGUCUCAGUCCGGAUUGAAGUCUGCAACUCGACUGCAUGAAGUCGGAAUCGCUAGUAAUCGCGAAUCAGAAUGUCGCGGUGAAUACGUUCCCGGGCCUU
rnacentral:rRNA from 1 species